GUAUCAUAAGAAUUCUUAAAACCAUGAAAAUAAAUCAUUUUAUGUGUAUUAAAAUCUUAUACUCCACAUUCAUUCAAUUGCAAUUCAAGGAGGGGCCUUGAACCAGAUGUCAUACCUUCGGUGAACCUCCGAGGCUUAAUACAAGAUAUAAAGAACUGACUACUUUUGAUCAUAUAACGCAGCAAUUGACAACAAAUUAUGAUAAUGGAUUCAAAGUUAAAAAUUGCGCCCAGGUCAUUAGUAAUACCAUAGGAUCUUAGGCGGACAAUAUAGCAAAAUGGGAUAUUGGAUUCUAAAAUAUUGAAUUACCCAUUGAAACUCCAUACGUUAGCAGAAUUCAUUUGCUUCUGUAUAGACUUUUUGAUAGACUCAAUGUCAAAACUUACUCAAAAUGCGACACGAAACCUGAGAGAAGAGCAAUUCAAGAGUUUCAAUGGAUGAGCAUUUUUGGAUCCUAUACAAUAAACAUUAUACAUUAUGGAAUUUAGAAGAAUUAUUAUAUUUUAUUUAAUAUUUUAACAAGCAUGUAUAAUUGUUUUGUAACAAUUUUGAUUUUGUAAAUUGUCAAUUUUUUAUCUUUUGUUUCUGCUGCUAUUAUGCUUACUUGUUGUCUCUUUCAUGCUAAUUUGUUGAAAGUUAUUUCAUUUAUAAUAUUUACUA